UACGUAGGGGGCGAGCGUUGUCCGGAUUUAUUGGGCGUAAAGAGCGUGUAGGCGGCCAGGUAGGUCCGUUGUGAAAACUCGAGGCUCAACCUCGAGACGUCGAUGGAAACCAUCUGGCUAGAGUCCGGAAGAGGUUAGUGGAAUUCCCAGUGUAGAGGUGAAAUUCGUAGAUAUUGGGAAGAACACCAGUGGCGAAGGCGGCUAACUGGUCCAGAUCUGACGCUGAGGUGCGAAAGCGUGGGGAGCGAACAGG
rnacentral:rRNA from 1 species